CCCAGGGUCAAAACUCCUUCCACACUCCUUGCCCACAGCCUGAGAGAGCUCCCACAGUGGGUGGGAGUCACCCCCUCCCAGUACCUGGGGACCAGCCCCCUUUAAAGAUCCCGUCUCUCCCCAGGGACUUCAGAGACCAGGUGUCCUGUUUGUGCCACCUUGAGACGGAGCCUGGGUUUGAGGGCCUGCCAGCUUGUGAUCAAACCCACUGGCCUGGCACUUGGGGGGUCUCUCCCAAGCCUGAAUCUGAGGCUGGGGGAUGUGAGGGUAGGGCCAGGGCCCGUGCCUCUGCUGUGUGGGCAGUGGGUGGUCUGGUGCUGCCUCUGGAAGACGGGCUAGAGAGCUAGCAGCUUUCGUAUGGAUUCCCAGGAAUUGGGGCCAACUAGACACAGACGUGCUGGCAGAAAACAUCUACGGAGCACCGACUGUGGACAGGCGCGACGUGGUGAGGCGCGGGUAGAGACAGCGCGAGCCCCACAGUCCCCAGUUCGAAUCCAGGUGCUGCCAGCGCCUUGGGAGCCUCAGGUGCCAUGUCUGUAACCCAGGAGCCCUGGUCGCUGGCCAGCAAUCCCGCCUUGGCUCUCAGAACAGCACCUCCCGGGAGUGUGGCUUGGCGCUUCCGGUCUGCCGGUGACGUUCUUUUAGAGAAGCAGCUGCUACCUGUGGCUUCACCUGGGACAGCGUUUUCCAAACCACGUUCCCGGGGCAUCUUAUUCCUCGUGGUGUGAACAGGCGGUUCUCAAGUCACGGAUGCUGUGGUCAGAUGGAGACGUCUGGUCAAAUGAAACUCAACAGCUUUUGUUUUCAUCGCAGCACCUCUCAGAGCGUGUGAUGUGGCCGUGAGGGCUGUGACGAGGUGAGGCAGGGGAUUCCCAUUUGCCAGGACACUGAGAACCCUGGGCCUGGCACUUUGAGGCAGGGACGGAGUCAUAUUUAUCCCUGUGUCUCACGUCACUUUGGCACGCGGUAGCCCCCUAGCUGUGCCCUGCCUGCGGCAGGCACCUGGCAGAGCCCAGUUAAUAAAACAUGGGCUAAAGAGAAGAGCUAGGACAAGGAUAUGCUGCAGCUCAGAGGAAGGCUCAGAUCCCCCAAUCAGAGGCUCAGGGAAGACUGCCUUUAGGAGGUGACGUCUGAACUGAGCCUGAGGGGUAAACCUACAAAGAACAGGGUAAGGGGUGGGAAAGGGAUUGCCGACACACAAAAGAGGAUGUCAGGGGUCCAGAGGGAGCUCUGUGCAUGGCCUGAUGCCCAGUGUGGCGUGUGGGGUGUCAGCAGGGGAGCGUGAGAGGCCUGCCUGGGAUGCGUGGUGUCGCAGUGCACACUUCACCCCGUGCAGGCACAUAGAAGAUUGCACCUCCCAGCCAUGCAGGUGACCAGUACGAAGCGGACAGAAGGGAGCAGUGGAAAACCGGACGAUGCUCUGAUCUCUCUCCCCUUGCUUUGGAGGCUGAGGAAGCUGCAGGUGCCGGACGGUGCAGCUACGAUACGGUGGAGCCUCCACCAGCCUGGGUCCCCGGGCGACCGUGGGAAGCAGCGUCCCCACAUGGGAUAUGCAGCGUGAGCAAGAAAUAAACCUUAGCUGUGCUAAUCCA